rnacentral:lncRNA from 1 species
UGACCUUUAACUCGCCGCAUUCAUUCAACCAUUGCAACUUGUAAGGACUAGUGUGAGGUGUAGUCGGCAAUUUCAAGAAGUUCACCAUUGCAACACUAACCACAUUCGCACAACUUCCACUAUCUAUCACCAUAGUACACACACUUCCCUUCAUAAGACAUUUAGUAUGGAAUAAACUCUCCCGUUGGCUAGGGUCAUCUAUCGCCUUACUAAUCAUG